AGCGAAAAUGGCUGAAUUCUGAACUGUAACCCCUGGACAGGGACGGUAGCAACUAGCUGAGUGGGGUGUUUGUGUGGAUACUAAAAAUGCCCAGAGUUUCAGUCUGAAAGGCGUGGGAGGUAACAAAACCUCCUGCCUGAGGGAUUAAGCUGUUCUCCCGGGAGCAGCAUAGCCCUGGCACUAGGGGGGCUGCCGCACCCCCUGGCUGGAAGUGUUUCCGUCACAUACAGGGUUUAGUUCAGUUUGGCUCAAUGGCUCUGAGCCCCCCCACUGCACACAUUGUUCCAGCCCCGGGGGGCCGAUGGCCUCACCUCUGUCCGUUGUGGGGCUUCUAGAACCUUCCCCAGACGCAGCGGCUGCUGGCCGCUCUCAGGUGCUGACUAGAGGGACGUCCGGCCGGGCGACGCCUAACGUCUUUCUCACGUUUAACAGGCGGCUCCUGGAGGCGGCCCAGAGACCUGGACCUGGUGACUUGGGGCCCGAUUCACAGGCAGCGCUGCGGGGCCGCGCUCGGAAAACCAGGCUCCCACGCUGGCCCAAGACGUUGCUACAGAGCGUUACGGCGGCGACAAAGCGAAGCACGAGAUGGACUCCCUUUGUGUCCAGCCGCUGUCAGCCCUCUCCGCGUCCUGGUAGAGGUGAAAUUCAGCCUGGUGCCAAGGAUGGCGUUCACCCACAGUCCGAGGGGAUGGUCGUUAGGUUCAAGUGGGUGACUUGGAGCUGCUGCAGCCUUGGUCAAACAUCGCUCUCUCUCCUCUGGGCCCCUGUUGGAUUAUGUAAGAGUGAACGCAGCCUGGUCAGUUUAAUCAGACAAAACCCAAGGUAGGUUCGUUUUGGAGUUCAGCUGCGCCCAGCACAUUUGGAUGCAAACUCUCUGGCUUAUAUUCUCCCUCUUCCAGUGUUGUAAAGUCUGACAGUGGCCCGGCAUAAUAAUCACAAUAGAAAAAAAAUGAGCGAGUCAGAGAGAUCUCUGCGUCUGGGCUCAAAGUUGCCAAGAACAGACAUACAUUUUUCAUCUCUUCAACAUGCAAAAUUAACUUUGCAAAUCUGCAGAAACAAACCCCAGUGUCUCUGGGCUCUUAGUGGAGGGGAUGAAACGUUACUGAGCUUGCAUAACAGAAAACAAAGAAUAAAAAUAUCCGAGGUUUGCA
rnacentral:lncRNA from 1 species